rnacentral:rRNA from 1 species
AUUGAACGCUGGCGGCAGGCCUAACACAUGUAAGUCGAACGAGUGGCGGACGGGUGAGUAAUGUCUGGGAAACUGCCCGCUGGAGGGGGAUAACUACUGGAAACGGUAGCUAAUACCGCAUACCAUCGGAUGUGCCCAGAUGGGAUUAGCUAGUUGGUGGGGUAACGGCUCACCUGGGCGACGAUCCCUAGCUGGUAUGAGAGGAUGACCAGCCACCCGGUAACUGAGUCACGGGCCAGACUCCUACGGGAGGACGCAGGGGAGAAGAGUGCACUAUGGCCGCAAGCGUGAUGCAGCCAUGCAGCGUGGAUGAAGAGGGCCUGCGGGUUGUAAAGUACUAUCAGCGAGGAGGCGUUAUUCGCAGAAGAAGCACCGGCUAACUCCGUGCCAGCAGCCGCAGUAAUAC